GUCAGUGACCUUCCAGUCAGUGACCUUCCAGUCAGCCUACAGCAGAGGUUCCGGCCGGAUCUGCUCCGGACAACCUAGCUUUUCAGCAAUCUCCUAGAUUUCUUCUCCCUGUGUGUCCUGUAUGUCGCUCUGUGUCUCACUCAGGGAUGCAGGCGUUGGCCCUGACAGACGCCGGCUCUACUACAGACGCAGCUGACCGGCAUUCACCUCCUCUCUCUGGGCAUGAACGGAUCAAGUGUUCAUCCAUUCUUCACCCGAAACACUUCAUCGUAUCUGAAGUUAAGUGGCAUGAAUAGUAGGGAUGCACCGAUACCGAUCCGAAUACGGUCAUUUAAUAAUAUUCAGAGCUAGGGUGUGUGCCUUUGUGUUUUCCUUUUUGCGCCACCCGAAACCCUCGUUUUUGGUUAUUAUAAUUCAAACCAUUGUAUGCUUUAUUUUACUUUAAUUUCAUUCACGGCAAUAAAACAAGCGAUUGCCUGAUAACACCGGCUGUAUGUUACUUCCUUCACCCCUACACCACCUCUGGGUUGUAACACAUCCAGUAGAACUGUUGUUUCAACAGCAUUUAAAUGACUAUAUUUCAUCACUGUAAUACGGUCAUUUAUUAACCCUGAUCUGGGUCAGAGCUAUUCAUGAUAUCAUUAAAUUAUGUUUAUGCUGACGUUGAAUAAACUAUCACAUUUAGCCCAUUGAUUGGUUGAUCGGAGAUCAUCGUCAUCACUACACAGACGUCAUGACUGACAUCAUGACAACACAGACGUCAUGACUGACGUCAUGACAACAGAGACGUCAUGACUGACGUCAUGACAACAGAGACGUCAUGACUGACGUCACAGUCCUCGCUCGAAAAGUUUACUUAUAGGACCCGCGCUGCGAUCAGGUUCAGAUCAUCGUGGUUAAUAUUGCUGGAAAGCUGGGUUGUUCGGUGCCGGUCGGGGUUCUCUAUGAGGCCUCUCCGGAUCAACAUUGAGCAAUCGAGGACUAUCAGCUGUUAACUGAAGAAGACGGAAGACUGAAGACUGAAGACUGAAGACGGAAGACUGAAGAUGCAACGUGGUGGGUGGUGGGGGUGACUGACUGACUGACUGGGUGACUGACUGA